GCUAAGCGCAGUGGUGUGUGCCUGUAGUCCCAGCUACUCGGGAGGCUGAAGUGGGAGGAUCACUUGGGCCCAGGAGUUCUGGGCUGCAGUGCGCUAUGCCAUCCCGGUGUCCACACUCAGUUCAGCAUCAAUAUGGUGACAUUCCGGGAAUAGGGGACCACCAGGUUGCCUAAGGAGUAGUGAACUGGCCCAGGUCAGAAAUGGAGCAGGUCAAAACUCCCGUGCUGAUCAGUAGUGGGAUUGCACCUGUGAAUAGCCACUGCACUCCAGCCUGGGCAACAGCAAGACCCCGUCUAU
rnacentral:SRP_RNA from 1 species